UACGUAGGGUGCGAGCGUUAAUCGGAAUUACUGGGCGUAAAGCGUGCGCAGGCGGUUCGUUGUGUCUGAUGUGAAAGCCCCGGGCUCAACCUGGGAAUGGCACUGGAAACUGGCGAGCUAGAGUGUGGCAGAGGGGGGUGGAAUUCCGCGUGUAGCAGUGAAAUGCGUAGAUAUGCGGAGGAACACCGAUGGCGAAGGCAAUCCCCUGGACCUGUACUGACGCUCAUGCACGAAAGCGUGGUGAGCAAACAGG
rnacentral:rRNA from 1 species